AACGCAGGGUAAUCGCUGCUUGCAAAAGUAGAGGAAAGUCCAUGCUCGCACAGUCUGUGAUGACUGUAGUGUUUGUGCUAGAUGAAAAAAUAAAUCUAGGUAGCGUAAGCUAACGGCUGACAAGAUCCUAAGGGCAACUAUGGAUAGCGUCUUUAAAAGUGCCACAGUGACGAUGCUUUAUGGAAACGUAAAGACUGGAACGGGUAAACCCCACAAGCGAGAAACCCAAAUUUUGGUAGGGGAACUCUAGCGAACAAAACGAAGUUCAAUAGGGACACGUAAGUGUAGAUAAAUGGUUACCACUCUUCGGAGUACAGAACAUGGCUUAUAUGC
rfam:Erysipelotrichaceae bacterium MTC7 Contig_6, whole genome shotgun sequence.